GCAAGUCGGGGUGUUCGCGGACUAGGACUAGGGGAGCCCGCGAUAGGCUCAGAGAAGCGGCGGAGGUCGGGGAGAGGCCUGCCACGCGCCCUCGCGGCUCGGCUUCGCGUCCCGACCCCCCGACAACCCCCCGCGGGGACCCGGCCUCCGGCGCAAAGGAGUCGGCGGGAGAGCCUGGAAGGAGAUCCCCAGGAAGGGAUGGCACGGGUGUGGGAGCUGGAACACAACUGGGCCGCCGGGACGGCUCGCCUCCUGGGCUGGACGUGAAAGUCUUUUCCCUCCUUUCUGAAAACUUUUCUCAGGCGUCUUUCACUUGGCCCCUUUGUGUGACUAAAUUUGGAAAGAAUAUGGAUCCGAGCCAGUCUUUCCACGUGUGCUCCCAGCUCCCAGCUGAGAAGGCCAAGGGUUCUCUUCCGGAACAAACCAACAUGAAGAGACAGCUUUGCAAUAGUGUACUGCAAAGCAUCGGAAAUCCUGGGUUGGAGGUGGGUACAGUCACUUCCCCUCAUGCUGUGGUGACCUCAGGCAAGCCAUUUAACCUCGUCCAGGUUCAGUUUCCUUUCUGCAAAAUACAUAUAAUAAUAUCCUAUGUGACAAGACUGUUGUAAUGAUUCAGUGAGGUAAUGCAUGUGAAAGUAUAUGCAAAUGUCAGGUAUGAAGCAAAGAUGACUUUUACGCAGCCCUCUAAGUGUCAA
ensembl:lncRNA